rnacentral:rRNA from 1 species
UGGUGGCGAGGUGGACGGAACGGGUGAGUAAUACAUACGGAACCGUACCUGAAGGUGGGGAUAACGUAGCGAAAGUUACGCUAAUACCGCAUAUUCUGUGAGCAGGAAAGAGGGGGAUCGCAAGACCUCUUGCUUUAGGAGCGGCCGAUGUCGGAUUAGCUAGUUGGUGAGGUAAAGGCUCACCAAGGCGACGAUCCGUAGCGGGUCUGAGAGGAUGAUCCGCCACACUGGGACUGAGACACGGCCCAGACUCCUACGGGAGGCAGCAGUGGGGAAUUUUGGACAAUGGGCGCAAGCCUGAUCCAGCCAUGCCGCGUGAGUGAAGAAGGCCUUCGGGUUGUAAAGCUCUUUCGGUGGGGAAGAAAUUGCUUCGGUUAAUACCUGGAGUAGAUGACGGUACCCGCAUAAGAAGCACUGGCUAACUACGUG